CUACCCUAGAACAACCAGUUUACGAUUAAUAACACGUUCAGUCUUCACAAUAAGAUUUUGAAUCCACAGGUCCAAAGCUCAAUUUUACUAAGAUUCAAGUUUAAGACUCUUUAUAAUUUGGAUAUACAUUUUAGUUCAUAUAUAUUAUAAUUCAAAUAUGACGAAUUUGAGCCGUGAUCUUGACUUUGACAGCUAAUGCCACUUUAACAUCCUGCAUUUCUUUUAUUAACCUUGAAAUUUUAAUAAAAUAUUCCUUGCCAAGUUUUAAGUAUAAUUGUUUUCUGAUCAACAAUAAAAUGUUAAGAUACCUAAUUGGGAUAAUGUCAAGAAAUAAAAACAAACUUAAACAAAGAAAAUAGCUUGAUGUCAAAAGUUCAGAAGAUUUUAUGACAUAAGCAAUCAAAUUAGCCAACAUAUGACAGCAUUGUUGUGUUCUUUUUUUUUUUUUUUUUUUUUUUUUUU